rnacentral:rRNA from 1 species
AUUGAACGCUGGCGGAAUGCUUUACACAUGCAAGUCGAACGGUAGAGGAGCAACCCUUGAGAGUGGUGAACGGGUGAGUAAUGUAUCGGAACAUGCCCAGUCGUGGGGGAUAACGUAGCGAAAGUUACGCUAAUACCGCAUACGAUCUAUGGAUGAAAGCGGGGGAUCGCAAGACCUCGCGCGAUUGGAGUGGCCGAUAUCAGAUUAGGUAGUUGGUGGGGUAAAGGCCUACCAAGCCGACGAUCUGUAGCUGGUCUGAGAGGACGACCAGCCACACUGGGACUGAGACACGGCCCAGACUCCUACGGGAGGCAGCAGUGGGGAAUUUUGGACAAUGGGCGCAAGCCUGAUCCAGCCAUUCCGCGUGCAGGAAGAAGGCCUUCGGGUUGUAAACUGCUUUUGUACGGAACGAAACGCGCUGAGCUAAUACCUCGGCGUAAUGACGGUACCGUAAGAAUAAGCACCGGCUAACUACGUGCCAGCCGCCGCAGUAACAC